GAUGAACGCUGGCGGCGUGCCUAAUACAUGCAAGUCGAGCGAACAGACGAGGAGCUUGCUCCUCUGACGUUAGCGGCGGACGGGUGAGUAACACGUGGAUAACCUACCUAUAAGACUGGGAUAACUUCGGGAAACCGGAGCUAAUACCGGAUAAUAUAUUGAACCGCAUGGUUCAAUAGUGAAAGACGGUUUUGCUGUCACUUAUAGAUGGAUCCGCGCCGCAUUAGCUAGUUGGUAAGGUAACGGCUUACCAAGGCAACGAUGCGUAGCCGACCUGAGAGGGUGAUCGGCCACACUGGAACUGAGACACGGUCCAGACUACUACGGGAGGCAGCAGUAGGGAAUCUUCCGCAAUGGGCGAAAGCCUGACGGAGCAGCGCCGCGUGAGUGAUGAAAGUCUUCGGAUCGUAAAACUCUGUUAUUAGGGAAGAACAAUUGUGUAAGUAACUAUGCACGUCUUGACGGUACCUAAUCAGAAAGCCACGGCUAACUACGUG
rnacentral:rRNA from 1 species